CCUUAUAAUCUAGGUAUGUUACCUGCACCUAUACCUACGUAAAAGGAACUUCACGAUCGUCACGUUGUCAUUACUGUUUCUGAUCACGUGAUGUGAUUGGUCUUCGUUCGCAUUCCCCUGACCCUAUACCUAAUACCUAUUGCGACUUAGCGAGACCUAAACGCGUAGACUGAAAGCGAACAAACUACUCCCUAGGGUUCAUUGAGCAGACCGACAGUACGCGCGGCAGUCUUCUUUGUGCCGUUACUUAGUCGAAAAACACGGAGACUCGAAGUUUGCUGCCCGGCUUGGACAACAAAGAAAAUAUUUCCUCGAAGCCGGCCGGCGGCGACGUUCAAGCAGCACUGGCUUAAAAUACGUAAGGCUCGAUAGGUCACACGGUGCGGUCCUCGUCCGGAAGCUUUUCGCCCCCUUUGAGGUCGGCCUGACCCAGAUCCAUCGCAGUUGGUUCUCUCACCUCGCCUCACCUGUGCAGCAGCGCGCCGUCAGCCUCUGUGCUCGCGGGCUGCAAUCGUUAACCAGGAUUCUGCGCACCAGACCACUCUCCCUCUGUGAUUCACUCACGGAUAUGAAAGAAACUCGCAGUGCAUUUUUCACCCGACGAAUUCGGCUAUUCCCAGCCCGCUAAAACGUCGCUCCGAAUUAGUCGUCCAACUUUUAUUCCUCUGCAUCGGAAAGCAGCUCUUGUCGUAUUCGGAGGGAGAAAAUAUUCGACAUUCAUCCGUUCGGAGAAUUGCUACUGCUGCAAAAUUCCGGAAACGUCCAGGUUAUCAUGGCUGAAGCUAAUAAUGGAUUCUUAAAGGAGAUAAAGAAGGAAAACCAAAAUGCCAAUCAGCAAAUUGAGGCGGAAAUUUCAAAGAACUAAUGAAAGAUCUGCAGACCCAAAUAAAAAAAAUCAGUCAGGAGUAAUUUCGGUGAAAACUACUCAACGUUAUUAACUGAAGAGUAUGGUAAAGGGUUAAAAAGACUACGAAGCGGUCGCCGGGUUCAACCCAGAAAGGGGAGUAUAUCGCAGAACAAUCGAGAAGAUAAUGCAAAUGAAUGCGGAGUCUGUCAGUGAAAAAAUAAAGCUCAGCGACUUUGCUCUAUCGAGUAAGCAUCAUA